AGGACGUUUAUACCCUGGCACAAACUCCAACACCCCAAAACAACAACACAGGUCAGCAGCAAAAGCCGAAUGAGAACGUUUAUACCCUGGCACAAGCUCCAUCACCUCAAAACAACAACAACAACAACACAGACCAAGUCCAAAUGGAGCUGCUUUACGCCAAGAUCCAGAAACCCAGAUAAUAAGAGAAAAGAUUUCCAAUGCUGCUCACACUGCUUUGGAUAAAGUCAAGUCAACUUUACUUAUAUAGCGCUUUUUACAAUAGAC